AGAAAUGAGGAGGUGUUUGUGAUAAACAUUUCUGAAGUUGCUGUAGACAUCUUUACGUGGGGCACAGAUUCUCAAGUGGAAAAUACCUCCACGAGAGCCUGCAACAGACGUUGAGUGAGUGGACCAAAGGGACAGCCGGCUUCUGGAGACUCAUGUUGGGACUCAGACUUUUUCAGCAACGAGUCCACAUCUGCAUGAACAUUAAAGAGUAAGACAUCCACACUAAGAAAUAUAUUUCUAGAAUCAUGCGCAACAACAUGGAGAGAGAAGCAACGCCAUGACUCCCGCAUGUCAAAGGCUGGACUGCGCGCUUAUGGAGGUGUUCUGCACGCUUCCACACCUCGCCUUUCACGGGGGUGGUAAUGCACACUCCUUGUGGCUUGUAGAGGUGCCCUACAUGUCUUAUAUUUGAUUACCAAGUAAAUGCACAAACUAAAUAUGUUACUAAACGUGUCUUUCAAUGUUCUCAUUCAUCCAGGUCAUUGUAAUCUCAGGGCAUUCAAUCUGUACAGAUUCUGGACAUGAGAAUGAAUGGUACGAAAGAGGAGUGAGGGAGCAAUCUAUGUCAAGAAUGAAAAACCAUCCCUGAACAGAGGAGGUGGUCUGCGACACCACCUGUCUCCCACAUACAACACGGUCCUUUCAACCACUCCUAAAAGACUAUGCAAUUCAGCCUCAAACAAAUAACAGGAGUUAGAAAACAAAGGCAAUUCUGGUCACAGGAGGUGACCAGAAUGUCAUUUGUUUACAACUGAAUGGAAUGCUUACGCCGGGGAUUCCAACUAUUUUGGACUGGGGGUAGUCUAGCCACAGCGAUUGCUCUCCCACACAAUACCUCUAUGCUCACAAGGGCAAAUUACACUUCAACGACUGUCGUUGGCUUUGACAGUUAGGAUUGCUUGUUUGCAUUAAAACAGUUGUUUUUGUCACUACGAUAAGGCAAAACCAUCCUUGCCCAGGCACACCCUCCUGGUUUUGGACUUUAACAUUUGGGGUGUUGGCACCAGCUGCUAGACUAGAUCUGACCGAUCUAAGUCUGUGAGCACAAACUGAUGAAGCCUACUCAGAUGAGAGGCAUAACAUCUUCUAAGACAAACCAAACAGUCCAGUUGCAAUCGAUUGAAUGCGCUGAGAUUAUGUGACAAAACCUUUAAUACUAAUGUCAUUAUUGGGGCUGUAGCUAUCGAUUAGUUUGUUCCAUUAAUAGAGUAAUCGGACGAAACACACUUUAUAGCCUCAAUGUAUAUUUUUGUGGAAAUCUUUGAAAUUAAAACAUUUUACGCUUGCCAUAACCUUCAUUCUUUUUUCUAAUAAACGCAGAUCAUCAAUAUUGAAUUUGCACUUUUAUAAAGUAUGCAUAAAUGUAAAAAUUAAAUCUGUGUUUGCUGCCACUCAGGUCGCAGCACACACGCCACCGCUUUUAUGUGCACUCUAUGGCAGAAGCCAUACAGUAACUAUGUCUGCAUAUUUAAAGUUCCUUGCACUCAAUGCAGGCCAGAUUUGAUCAAUUUGUAUUAUUUACUCUCAUUAAACAAACAAUUGAAGCAAUAGAAUAUAAAUCAAAGCUACUUGUGAUUGCUUCUAAAGACAAGCAGAAUGUUUUGCACCUUUUGCAUCAAGUUCAGACAGCGGACCCCCCAAAAGACUCUUCUUCUUGUCAUUGGCUCGAGCUCCUUCUCUCUGCUCCUCUAACAGAUCCUCCUGAGCCCACCGCUGUGAGUAGUGUUUGCCCAAUGCUGGAAUCUAAAAUGAACACAGACAACAUUAAAGGGUUACCUCGCCGCUCUUGGGCUACGUUAUAGGCUUUUCACGUCAUACUUUAAAGUACUCCGCUUCAUCGUCUGGCGGUUUUAGAAGCUCCUCUAGCAGCCGAAUCUCUUCGUUUGUAAUGUCAGCACAAUAUGGCUCAACAGAUGCCCAGAAUCUGAAGAGAAAAAAAAAUCCAAAACACACAUCAAAUACAGCAUGGGACCACUAUUUUACAACAAUUAGGAAUGUCUCAAUCAAAAUUGUUUUGGCCUCUGAUUCAAUUUUGAUACUUUGACAAUAGAUUAUAGA